UACAGAGGAGCCAAGCGUUGUCCGGAUUGACUGGGCGUAAAGCGCGCGCAGGCGGUCUUCCAAGUCAGUGGUGAAAGCCCGGAGCCCAACUCCGGAACUGCCAUUGAAACUGUAAGACUUGAGGACGAGAGAGGUGAGUGGAAUUCCCAGUGUAGAGGUGAAAUUCGUAGAUAUUAGGAAGAACACCAGUGGCGAAGGCGGCCACCUGGCUCGGUACUGACGCUCAGGUUCGAAAGCGUGGGGAGCAAACAGG
rnacentral:rRNA from 1 species